UUGUUUGAUGCAGUUUUGCUCGAAUUGUGCUCUGAGUUGGUGGAGGGGCUGUGAGUGGUGGCCUAGCCCAGGGUGACAUGCCAUGAACCAGGACUGGAGUAUCUUUACACAAGAGGACAGGUGAGGGAAGGCAUUCUCAAGUCCAUGGACAUGAGAUUGAGUUUGAAGGCACCGAUGUAGUUAAAAUAUAACUGGCAUCAACUAUCUGUAGAUUAUGAUUCUGGGGGGGCAAGUCACUGCACACCCUCCCACCUGCAAACUAUGGGAAAGCUAGAGUUCAUUGAAUUGUGAAGACUAACUGGGGUCAACAUUGAUAAUCAUUCCCCAGUACUCUAGGGAGUCUGGGGAAAGCAGAUGGACGUGGAAAAAGGACUAGCUGAGAAAGAAGGAGAAAGUGCCAGAGAGUGGAUGAAUAAAGCUUGAAAUCUGACAAUAGUGUGUGAGGUGUGUAAGGGAGAUGAGAGAAGAGCCUGAGAUAUUAUAUUGUUAACUGCAUUGUAAAACUUAAAGAUAAACACAUAAAAAUUAAAAUCUAUUAAAUCCUGCCACUCAGAAAUCGCCAGUGCUGUCAUCCGGUGUGGCAAUAUAAUAUAUAUUCCAAAUUGGGAUCAUAUCUAUUUUUAGACUAUCGUCCUCCCCCAGAGAAUAACAUAUCAUAUGUAUUCUUUUUCAUUUCAAUUAUUAGAACUCUUUAGUGUCGUUUUGGACCGUGCUCAUAUUUUUCAUCCUUCCUCCAGCCCGUGUAUCACCUAAACUCCCCAGGUAAGACGCACAUAGUCUACUGCUCCAGACACCAGCCUAAUUCCCAUUCAGAGCUGCCCUGUUCUUUGUCACUGGAUGUGCGGAUAGGCAAGUGUUCAAUGUCUAUACUACUCUACACAUUGACUUGACUACCAUUCAGAAAUAGGAUCAGAAGUUUUCCCUAAAAUUGACAGCAUUAAGUUUGCAUCAUGAAAGUUGAAAUAUAAAUUAACAUGUUGGUGUCACUUUGCAUCCUGCUU
rnacentral:lncRNA from 12 species